CAUUAACCACUAACAGUUCUUUACGUACUAGAAGAGAGAGUUCGAGCAAAAGAGCCAUGGUGUUUUGUUUAAUCCUGGACGAUACACGACAAUGCAUCUCCACGCAUGGUGGGGAUAUGUAAGAUUGAACAGAUGAAGAUUCAAAUAAAGCAAUGUCCAAUCCAAUCUUUUAGCUCCAAGAACAAAACGGACGAGUGACUGGGAUUCACUUUUCCCGUA
rnacentral:lncRNA from 1 species